AGUUGGUGGAAUAAUCCUUUAAUUCAUGGCCACUUACUCAGCUGGGCCAGAGCGCUUUAAUUAGGUCAGGUGGCAAUGACCGACAGAUCUCAUCCACAUAAAAGGAGGAAAACGGCGUCGCCUGAUCUCACUGCUUUCUCUUCCUUAACUCCGUCUGCUCGAAGUUCUGUGCGUCCAUGAAUCCACCACAGACUACUCAGUAAAUAUACUACUUUAUGGUUAAAGGAAUUCCUGCCUCAGUCUCAUCCAUUCUUCUGACACGUGACCACCUGUUCACCUUCACUGUCAGUCAUCCUACCUGUCCAGCUACCCACACAGAUUCCACUAAUCUUUCAAUGUCCUUCAAGCCGGAUGAUGACUGAACCAAAGACGGGUGAAAUGGAGGAGGAUAGGGAAGAAUUGUCUCCACUGGAAGGAAGAGAGGAGGAGAGGGCAGCUGAGGGAAAGGUCUUGGAACAAAGGAAAUAUCCAGGAGCUAAGCCUAAAGCAACAAAGGCUUCAUCCUCAACCACCAGCAGCACUAGAAGAACCAGGCAAGCGCCUGGUUAUCUUAAGGAUUAUCUGGUCGAGAUUUCGACAUCAAAGGGCAAGCCCACUAGAGCUCAAGGUGGUGAUGGAUCAACUGUACGUUUCAGCCAUCAACCAUCUCCUCUGAGCCAAGCACCGGAAACUGCGUUGGAGCAGGAAAGUGGUCUACAGGAAGAACCCAUGGAGGUGACUCCCACAGCACAGGUCAACCAGCUUCCUGAGGCAGGCUCCGCUCACUCCUUAACUAAAGGGAAAUCGUCGAGGCACUCUAGACGGAGUGGGAGUUCGACCAGUGGAUACCCCUUUGGAAGUGGCCAUGGCAGCCGCCAUUCACUAUUGAUGCAGUAACGGCCCCCCUAUCUACUUUUGUUGACUUUUUUUAUUAGACCACUCGCAGAACAGCUCCCCUCCUUUGUAAAGCACACCAGCAGUAUGAUCUCUAUCAUAGAAUCUCUUGAUCCUCUCCCUGAGAAUACCUUGUUAGUUACUUUUGAUGGUGAGUCGUUAUACACAAAUAUUCCACACGAGGGCGGUAUUGAAGCUAUGGAACAUGUUCUUCCUCAACGUGACCAUAAUGAACUACCUUCCAGUGCAUGCAUUAUAACAUUGGCUGAAAUAGUACUCGCACAUAACUAUUUCAUGUUUCUAAAUUAUUUAUUUAUUCAGACGAAGGGUACUGCUAUGGGGUCCCCCAUGGCUCCUAACGAUGCUAAUUUGAAUGUGGGUUACAUGGAGAAACAGUAUAUUUUCAAUCCUCUCAAAUGUUUUCUUGCCUAACAUCAUUAUUUGGAAACGGUAUAUUGAUGAUAUUUUUGUUCUAUGGAGGGGUGAUGCAAAACAGCUCCAGGCAUUCCAUGCUUUUCUUAUCUCCUGUUCUGAGCAUCUGAGAUUUACUAUGCAAUCUGAUACAAGUCAAAUCAGUUUUCUUGAUCUUUUGAUCUUGUGUGAAAAUAAUGUUCUAUACACUGAUCUUUACAGGAAACCUACUGAUCGUAAUAGUUUGUUGAGGGCUGACAGUUGUCACCCACUUCCCUUGAAAAAUAGUUUGCCCUACAGCCAAUUCUGUCGAAUCAAAAGAAUUUGCAAAAAACAAUCAGAUUUCGACAGAAAUAUGGCUGAGACGCAAAGAAAGUUCAAGGAGAGGGGGUACAAAUGUGAUCAGAUUAAUAUUGCCAUUGAGAAAAAUCAAAACAAAACGUUUUUCAAGGGCAGUCUCGCAAAAAGACGCAUUCUUGCAUUCUAACUACCCGCUAUUCAAAGCGCUCUGAACAAAUUAAAGGAAUCGUUCAAACAUUGGCAUAUUCUAAAAUCCGAUGAUAGUCUCGGUAAUGUGUUUUUCGGACCUUCCCUUGGUCGUAUUCUCGCGGGGCAGAAAUCUCAGAGACCAAUUGGUACACUCUGAUUUACCACCCCAAGAUAUUCCUGAACAACGGCUAUUUGCGCCCCUACUGGAUGGAAAUUACAAGUGUAAUGGCUGUGCUCAAAGCGUAUAAACGUAUAAAUGCAGAUCCUUCAAACACCCACAAACAGGGAAAUCGAUCCCAAUCAAAGGUGUUAUUAAGUGUGUAACAGUAUAACUUUACGUCCGUCCCCUCGCCCAUACCCGGGCUCGAACCAGGGACCCUCUGCACACAUCAACAACAGUCAUCCACGAAGCAUCGUACCCAUCGCUCCACAAAAGCCGCGGCUCUUGCAGAGCAAGGGGAACCACUACUUCAAGGUCUCAAAGCAAGUAACGUAACUGAUUGAAACGCUAUUAGUGCGCACCACCACUAACUAGCUAGCCAUUUUACAUCUGUUACACUCACCCCACUUUCGACCUCCUCCUUUUUCCACAGCAACCAGUGAUCCGGGUCAACAGCAUCAAUUUAACAGUUUAACUUUAUUCCGUCCCCUCGCCCCGACCCGGGCGCAAACCAGGGACCUUCUGCACACAUCAACAACGGUUGCCCACGAAGCAUCAUUACCCGUCGCUCCACAAAGGCUGCGGCUCUUGCAGAGCAAGGGGAACCACUACUUCAAGGUCUCAAAGCGAGUAACGUAACCGAUUGAAACGCUAUUAGUGCGCAUCACAGCUAACUAGCUAGCCAUUUCACAUCCGUUACACGUGCUCCACUAAGGCAGUUAUUUAUCUUAUAACUUGUCCUUGUGGUAAAAAUGAUGUGGGUAAAACAAAGCGCGAAUUAAAAGUACGUAUCUCAGAGCAUCGUAGCACCAUUAGGUGCAAAAACUUGACCUACCCAGUUGCGGCUCACAUUUUGGAGGCAGGCCACUCGAUUUCGUCUCUGCUUUAUAUUGGCAUCGAACAUGUCACCCUCCCUAGGAGAGGGGGUGACCUUGAUAAUUUAUUGUUAAAACGAGAGGCUGCCUGGAUCUUUAACUUAAAGACCCUUGCUCCCUUCGGUCUCAACGUAGACUUUGAUCUGAAGCCAUUCUUGUGAUGAUUGGGACUUUGCCAUUGUAAUUGUUUGUAAGCUUGUGUAGUCUGAAAUGAAUCUAUGAUCGUAUGCUAUCCAUUUGUUUUUUGUAUGCCAUUUUAAUAUUUGAGAAUUAACCAAUGAUAGUCAAGGUUAUUAUGGGGUCAAUGUCAGCAUGACAGUCAAUGUUAUUAUGGAGUCAGUUGUAAAUGAGAACUUGUUCUCAACUGGCCUACCUGGCUAUAUAAAGGUGAAAUAAAAAUCUAAAAAUAAUCAUGUCAGUAUGAAAGUCAAUGUUAGGUAUUUGGAAUAUGACCUCAUGGCUGUCUUUACAUUAACAAAAUAUGUGAAGUAAAAUGGGCCUCUGUUUGUCAUGAGCAACUAUUUCUGUUAAGUGUUUAAUUUUCGUUUUGGCUAUUAAACACAACAAAAAUGUC